rnacentral:lncRNA from 1 species
UCAUCACUGGCUUUUGAUGGAAACAACGAUAUAUGUGAUGACCCUUUCUGAUCCUUGCAGGACAGGAGGGAGUCCAGGUCAAGGCAUAAUACUCACAUACACAGCUGGGCUUGUUGCCAGACCACUGAUUGUUCUGCUGACAGGUGAUAACUCUCUCCCCCACCAGCUCAAAGGCCGCCGGGCAUUCAAAGGCUGGGAGCCAUCAUGGCUGACUCACUAUGAUCUCAGGCUCCUGGGCUCAAGUGAUCUUUCGACCUCAGCCCCUGGAGUGGCUGGGACAACAGACAGCAAAUUUAACCAAGGUAAAUUUCAGCACCUUGAUUCACGUAUAUUGACAUUGAGGUGAAGAACUAUGACCUGUUAGAAUAAAACUGAUCAAAGAUGACCACAAAAGAUUUUAGUGUCUACCAUCUCUAAAAGGAACAUCACUUUUCAAAUCAAUUAAUGGAAAAGGAAGCUGGAGACUGUCCACCUGCUCUUUCCCUCAAUUGCCUCCUCUCCUCCUUCAAUGUCAUCUUAAGUGACUUCUCCUUAUUAAACACCAGGACAGAUGAAGAUACAAGGCAAUAUAA